rnacentral:rRNA from 1 species
UACGAAGGGUGCAAGCGUUACUCGGAUUUACUGGGCGUAAAGCGUGCGUAGGUGGUUUGUUAAGUCUGUUGUGAAAGCCCCGGGCUCAACCUGGGAAUGGCAAUGGAUACUGGCAGGCUAGAGUGCGGUAGAGGGUAGUGGAAUUCCCGGUGUAGCGGUGAAAUGCGUAGAGAUCGGGAGGAACACCAGUGGCGAAGGCGGCUACCUGGACCAGCACUGACACUGAGGCACGAAAGCGUGGGGAGCAAACAGG